AACGACACGUGGAGACGCAGAACAAGCAGCGGGUACCGUAGUCGCGCAGACCUGCGAAUCACCGAUUUGUCCGCUGUAUAUAAAGGAGGGAAGAACGCGAGGUCUGCGUGUGAUCGGCCAGCGCCUUUCUGCUCCUAUUCUCCGUUUUU
ensembl:ncRNA F40F9.14 ncRNA